rnacentral:rRNA from 1 species
GGGCCCGCACAAGCGGAGGAGCAUGUGGUUUAAUUCGAUGAUACGCGAGGAACCUUACCAAGGCUUAAAUGUAAUAUGACCGGUUGAGAGAUCAACCUUUUUUCGAACAGAUUACAAGGUGCUGCAUGGUUGUCGUCAGCUCGUGCCGUGAGGUGUCGGGUUAAGUCCCAUAACGAGCGCAACCCUAUUUUUAGUUACCAGCGAGUAAUGUCGGGAACUCUAGAAAAACUGCCUGUGCAAACAGAGAGGAAGGUGGGGAUGACGUCAAAUCAUCACGGCCCUUAUGUCUUGGGCUACACACGUGCUACAAUGGUUACUACAACAGGAAGCAAGACUGCGAAGUUAAGCAAA